AAGUCGUAACAAGGUCUCCGUUGGUGAACCAGCGGAGGGAUCAUUGAAGAGUUGCAAGACCCAAACCACUGCGAACAUACCACUACGUUGCCUCGGUGGGCGGCUCCAGGGCGGAGCCUCCGGCCCCCUUGGGGGGGUGCUCGCCGAUGGCCCCUAUACCAUGUUGUCUCUAAGCCCUCUCAGUACUUGCAUAAACAGUCAAAACUUUCAACAAUGGAUCUCUUGGCUCUG
rnacentral:misc_RNA from 1 species